AAUCUACCCAGUAAUCCGGGAUAACAUCUCGAAAGAGAUGCUAAUGCCUGAUAAGCCCACGAUCUCUUCGGAGAACGAGGGAAAAGGUGGGGACCUUCGGGCCUGCCGUUGCUGGAUGAGUCCGCGGCCCAUUAGCUAGUUGGUAGGGUAAUGGCCUACCAAGGCUACGAUGGGUAGCUGGUCUGAGAGGAUGAUCAGCCACACUGGAACUGAGACACGGUCCAG
rnacentral:rRNA from 1 species